GAAUAGCAUCUUAGGGACCAGAGGUUUUCCACAUUGCCACUGGAUAGGAGUUUUCAGUUGCCAAGCCAAAAUAUGGGCAACAUUCGAACAGGACAGAACACCUGGAUGGGACUCCAAGAAGUGGCCCCAGAGAGUUAAAUCCCAGUGACUGCUAGUAGGUGAAAGCAGACAAACACCAAGAAGCCGGUGGCUGGGUUCAUCUUAGCAAAUUCCAAACGAAGAAAUAAAUGUCCUUGAUAUUCCAUUUAAUAGACAGUGGGUGGCACCAUCUUAAGGAGCAGAUGAUAUUCUUAAUCAGAUAUUAUAGAGAAAGCCAACUGUAUACACGAAUUAAGCUUCGUCUCCUCAGGUGCUCUCUUGCAUUUCAUUCAAGUCUGGCAUCUUCUGGGGAUCACCAUGGUUUGAAAUGGUUGUUAUUUUUCACACAGUAGAAAGCUUACUCUUCAUCUUUAUUAUUAUUUUUCAAAAUGCAACCAUUUUUAAGGCUACAGCGUCAUCUGAUUUGUACUAUUUGGAUCCUAGAUCACAGCCAGUAUUUGGAAGAAACUGUGUUUUUAACGCUCGGAGAAAAAGUAAAUAAGAAUGUGAAAGUAGGA
rnacentral:lncRNA from 1 species